rnacentral:sRNA from 1 species
CUUUAGCCCCGAUCGCAGUGAAAAUCCUUGUAAACCGGGGUUCGGUUUGCAAGAUUGUAACGGAGAGCGGGACAACUG